AAAACUCGAAAUAGAUUAAAUACGGUGCUUUUUAAUUCCCGUUAAAGCCCAUAAAAGACCAAAAAACAUAUUUACAUUUCUUUCUACAUCUACGACAAUCUAUCUUUUCAUCUUCCUCUUCCCCAUUAUCACCAGAAAACCUAAAGCUAUUAAGAAACUCCUCGCCACCAUCGUCUACAUUCAAGAACAACACUUGAAUGGUCUAAACCCUAAUCCCAUGAGAAGCCUUCCUCUCCCCGAGACAGCCAAGCGUACUCAACAUCAUGCAAGAAAUUUCUCUUCAACCCCUCUCAACUUAAAGCUAUAAAUCUCAGACGACCUCCUCGCUUCUCUCGAACUUCACAGACACCUUAAGCAAAAAGCAACAAAAAUUCAGAUUUAUGGGUUCAGUGUGUUGAUUAUGCAGAUCGAGCGGGAAGGAACCCGUGAUCAUCCAAUUAGUAGUCUGUUGAGGAUGGUUAAAGUGAAACUCCAUGUUGUUAUCGGACUGGAUCUGUCUCAUCCUCCCUCCACCGUAUGAAUCACUUUCUGACAGUUUAUUGUGAUGUAAAUAGUUUUUUCCUUUCUUAAUGUAGGGUUCUAAUCCUGCUUAGUUCAUGGGAUGGUCAUUAUUUUGUUAGCUGUUUGCUCUUCCAGAAACGUGAUGAUGCUAGACAGUUUAUGAAGUUUCUCCUCUCUGAUCUUGGAAUAGAACUUUGUCAGAGAUCAUACGUGCUUAUAUCCAUAUAUCUAUGUGCCUGAUCACCCAACAUAUAAAGCUGUUCAAUUUUUUUUUGUGUAUGGACUCAGUAAUUGACACAUUUUUCUUGGCUCACAUCAUUGGAUGGUGGAGAAAGGCAAAUUUGAUCAGGAAUUAACCACUUAUGUGGGUGCUUUUGAUUGAUUUUCAGUUGUUGGAGGGUGGUCGUUUUUCUUCGUUCCCUUAUGUUUUUUUCCCAUGUAUUACCACUAAUACUAUUUAUAUUUAUGUUCUCCAACUUACUUUUCGGCACAUGUUUCCAAAUUUAAAUGAAUUCUGGUGAGAGAGUAUUGUUAUAGAUAUCUUGAUAUGCAAUUGAUUUGUAUA